GACGAACGCUGGCGGCGUGCUUAACACAUGCAAGUCGAACGGAAAGGCCCUGCUUUUGUGGGGGGCUCGAGUGGCGAACGGGUGAGUAACACGUGAGUAACCUGCCCUUGACUUUGGGAUAACGUCAGGAAACUGGGGCUAAUACCGGAUAGGAGCUCCUGCUGCAUGGUGGGGGUUGGAAAGUUUCGGCGGUUGGGGAUGGACUCGCGGCUUAUCAGCUUGUUGGUGGGGUAGUGGCUUACCAAGGCUUUGACGGGUAGCCGGCCUGAGAGGGUGACCGGCCACAUUGGGACUGAGAUACGGCCCAGACUCCUACGGGAGGCAGCAGUGGGGAAUAUUGCACAAUGGGCGGAAGCCUGAUGCAGCAACGCCGCGUGCGGGAUGACGGCCUUCGGGUUGUAAACCGCUUUCGCCUGUGACGAAGCGUGAGUGACGGUAAUGGGUAAAGAAGCACCGGCUAACUACGUG
rnacentral:rRNA from 1 species